rnacentral:rRNA from 1 species
GAUGAACGCUGGCGGCGUGCCUAAUACAUGCAAGUCGAGCGAACAGACGAGGAGCUUGCUCCUCUAACGUUAGCGGCGGACGGGUGAGUAACACGUGGAUAACCUACCUAUAAGACUUGGAUAACUUCGGGAAACCGGAGCUAAUACCGGAUAAUAUAUUGAACCGCAUGGUUCAAUAGUGAAAGACGGCUUUGCUGUCACUUAUAGAUGGAUCCGCGCCGCAUUAGCUAGUUGGUAAGGUAACGGCUUACCAAGGCAACGAUGCGUAGCCGACCUGAGAGGGUGAUCAGCCACACUGGAACUGAGACACGGUCCAGACUCCUACGGGAGGCAGCAGUAGGGAAUCUUCCGCAAUGGGCGAAAGCCUGACGGAGCAACGCCGCGUGAGUGAUGAAGGUCUUCGGGUCGUAAAACUCUGUUAUUAGGGAAGAACAAAUGUGUAAGUAACUAUGCACGUCUUGACGGUACCUAAACAGAAAGCCACGGCUAACUACGUG